ACUCCUACGGGAGGCAGCAGUGGGGAAUAUUGCACAAUGGGCGAAAGCCUGAUGCAGCGACGCCGCGUGAGGGAUGAAGGCCUUCGGGUUGUAAACCUCUUUCAGCAGGGAAGAAGCAGCCRGGUUUUCUUGGUUGUGACGGUACCUGCAGAAGAAGCACCGGCUAACUACGUGCCAGCAGCCGCGGUAAUACGUAGGGUGCAAGCGUUGUCCGGAAUUAUUGGGCGUAAAGAGCUUGUAGGCGGUUUGUCGCGUCUGCUGUGAAAUUUCGGGGCUCAACCCCGAACUUGCAGUGGGUACGGGCAGACUAGAGUGUGGUAGGGGAGACUGGAAUUCCUGGUGUAGCGGUGAAAUGCGCAGAUAUCAGGAGGAACACCGAUGGCGAAGGCAGGUCUCUGGGCCACUACUGACGCUGAGAAGCGAAAGCAUGGGGAGCGAACAGGAUUAGAUACCCUGGUAGUCCAUGCCGUAAACGUUGGGAACUAGGUGUGGGCCUCAUUCCACGAGGUCCGUGCCGCAGCUAACGCAUUAAGUUCCCCGCCUGGGGAGUACGGCCGCAAGGCUAAAACUCARAUGAAUUGACGGA
rnacentral:rRNA from 1 species